rnacentral:lncRNA from 1 species
CAGGGCAUCAGCCACUAUCAGAGCUACCUAGCCUGGUCAGGAGGACACAGCACUGGGAGACCGUCCCCAGGGUGGGACCUUUGGCAAGGCAAGCCCUCGCCCUGGCAUCCCUUCGAGCCGGACUUUCUGCACCUCCAGGAUUUUCCUGCCAUUAAAUCUGGAGAAAGAAAAACAAGCACUCCAACCUGGACAAGCAACUAUUCCUUCUCACCCCGGCUCACCAUCCCUCUACUUCUCUGUCGGACCAUUUUUAGCGUCGGUGGCUCCCUGACUUGGGAGAUGGAUGGGCUAGGAGAGCCGAGGGCCACCUCAGAAGAGCAGGAGGACCCGGCAGAGCCCCGGGACGGUAAGCGACAUUUGGGGACUAUUCACUAAUGCCCUUCCGCAGAGGUUUCUUCUCUGUCCAUUUUCUUCCUGGGUUGUCAGUGAUUUCAUCUGAGUUGUUUUCAGAGUUUUAGCCUGAUGAAGGGUUUCCAAAUAGAUCCAAGCUGUCAAUUUGGUGGGAGUGUGGAGGAGUGGGGAGGGGCCUGAGUGUCUGGCUUCUCAAGGGACCCCUCCUGGGCGCCCAGUGACCUGUGCUCUCUCCCCUCAGGUAGGGAUCCCACAGCUGGGCGGUUCUAAGCCGCCAGGCACGUGAAAGGCCGCGGGAUGCUGGUCCUGCUGCUGCACGGUGAGUUCCGAGGCUGGCUCCUUUCCAGCCCCUGCCAGUGAGUGCAGGGGUUGGGAAGCCCGUAGAAGAUGACAGAAGAGGCAUGGAAACCACAGGGCUUCUGCAAGUGGCUUCCAUGAAAGUUGUACCUGGACACCAGUUCUGAUUAGGUUUCCCUGAACCUGUGAUCACGGGGGAGGGGAUGGAGAAGGAGAGAAAACAGCAGGUGGUGGGUUUUUUUUUCACCUAAAAACAAAACUCCUGAGCCAAAUAUAUGAACUAUUCCUCUUGGUGACUUUCUUAUUCUAAUUUCACUUAGGAAUUCAUUGGUGCCAUUGCCGAAAACUACAGUGGUUUUCUAAUCACAUUAAGCUCAUUUAGUUAAAAAAGAAAAUCCCUUAGCGAAGCCCAUCUUCCUAAAGGAAGGAAAAAAAAAAAAGAAAACUAUCAUGUGGGAAUUGUGUGAUUAUGGGUGUUUAAAAAUUUUGUCUCAAGUUUUUUGUCCUAUUGUUAAAUGGGUUUUGAUAUAACAAGAAGACAUCACAGAAUUUUUCCCACACCUCCACAGCUCCAGCGGCUCAAAUCUGAGAUAGCCCAAGGAAAAUUUCCUUGUUAAGUUCUUCAGGAAAUUAUUCUACACAAAGAGUCUGUUUUUCUGACCCUCAGGUGAAUGUAAUUAUUUGAAGUUAUAACUACCCAGGUAAUAAACCUCUAUGUCGUGCUGGUCUAUAGCA